rnacentral:rRNA from 1 species
AUGGGUGAAACUGGAGCACCGAUGCAGUAUUUGCUGUAUCUUUGGAAUGAGUGGGAGCUCCAAACUGUUGUUGCUGCCAGCUUCAGUCUGCAGGUUAUCCUCUUCUUCUUUGCAGGCGUCCGCCGUUACAACACCUCGUCUGUUGUUAGGGUGAUCCUCUGGCUAGUGUAUCUGCUUGCCGAUGCCAUUGCGAUAUACGCCCUGGGGCACAUCACCUCGUCAUUGUCAAAGAAAUCGAACCAGCUGGUGGCGUUCUGGGCGCCAUUGCUCGUUCUGCACCUCGGCGGCCAGGACACCAUCACUGCGUACGCCCUGGAGGACAAUGAACUCUGGCUGCGCCACCUGCUAAACAUGUCUGUGCAGGUCGCCGGCACCGCGUAUGUGCUCUACAAGUACAUCAAAGAAGACGGGUCAACCUUUGCCCGUGCUGCUAUUUGGGUACUGGCCGCCGGAGUUUUCAAGUACGGCGAGAGGAUACGGGCACUGAAGCUUGCAACCAGGAAGCACUCAAAGAAAAAUUGGAAACCACGAAGAAUAUGGAGGAGGAGGACGACGGAUCCCCCUUUGGAAAGUGUUCCGUUUGAAAUUUAUGCAUUUAUUGUGAUGAGAGCACACGUGGUACGCCAUAAUUAUGUCAAGCCUAUAAUUAUGGGCUACCCUGCGGGAAACACUACCAACGAGAUCGGGGCAUCCCUGAUGGAUGACUUCUGGGAACAAGUAAGGGAUCAUGUUACAUAUGUACAAGGGUAUGCACCACGGCUACGGGAAGAGGAUGCAUCGCUAGAGGAGAAGAUGCAAACUAAGAACCUGUACAAGACAAUCGAGGUGGAGCUCGGCCUGGUGUACGAGACUCUGUACACCAAGGCACCGGUGAUCCACACAUGGUAUGGCCACUGCAUCCGCACCUUCUCAUUAGUAUCUUGCUUCGCCGCUCUCGUGAUCUUCACAGUGAGCAAAAAAGAUAGCUACAGCACACCUAAUGUUGUUAUCACUUUUGCUCUUCUGGGCGGAGCUUGCGCACUAGAGGUUGCAUCUGUUUUCAAGGCGAGUGGGUCGACCUGGACAUAUGCCAUCCUGAGAGACGAGGGGUAUAACCGGCUGGCCAAUGCAAUUCUCUUUGCACGGUACCACCUCCGUCUUGUCAAUGAUGGAAGGUGGUCCGAUUCCAUCGGGCAAUCUAACUUCAUAUCCUAUUAUGCAUUUGACCCCAAGGAAGACCUCGCGGGAAGAAUAUCCAGAUGGAUUGGGCUCCGCCGCUUGUGGUUCAAAGCUCACCGCAUCAAACAUGCCAAGCUUUCACCUGCCGUGAAGGAGUUUGUAUAUGCCUUGCUCAAAGGUGAGUGGAGACAUCUGGUCAGCAUUGAAGAUGUGGGCCCCCGGAGAGCGGCCUGGGCUCGCAAGUUCAGCGACAACGCCAAGAUCAAACAACUUGACUGGAGCCUGAGUUUUGAAUUUCAGGAGUGUGUGUAUAUUUGGCAUAUAGCCACAAGCACCUUCCUCAAUAACUCUGCCCUCGAACCGGAGUUGGUCAACAAGGACAUGGCUGUCAUGGCUGGAGCAGUCAACACUCUCUCUGAUUACAUGAUGUACCUCCUCGUCAAGCACCCAGACAUUCUGCCCACUGAGGAAGCCAGUCGACGCUGGUAUGACAGUGUCGGCCGUGUUUACGUGUACAUUCUGGGUAGAGGUGGUGAUGAGUGUGGGCCUCACGCGGUAAUGCUGAAAUGCGAUGCUAAGGAACGUGAUUGGGAUAGUAACGGGGACUGGGCUAUGAUGGAGAAAGCAGGCACACUUGCUCGGAUAAUGCUCGACAUGGAGUUGGGGCUCCCACAUAAGUUGGUAAUACUUGGAACAGUUUGGAUGGAGAUGUUGUGCCACACAGCAACCAACACAGCUGGCGAAUUCCACGCCAGGCAGCUCAGCAAUGGGGGCGAGUUUCUGACCCACAUCUUGCUCCUCGCUGGAUAUUGUUCUUAUAUGAAAGAGGCAACAAAGCCGCCCGAAGCAGAUGAUUGCAAGGAUGUGAUCAUCGAAAUCCCCUGA